rnacentral:rRNA from 1 species
AUUGAACGCUGGCGGCAGGCUUAACACAUGCAAGUCGAGCGGUCGAGGUUGCUUCUGUAACUGAGCUAGCGGCGGACGGGUGAGUAAUGAUUAGGAAGCUGCCUAUUAGUGGGGGACAACAUUCCGAAAGGAAUGCUAGUAACGCAUACGUCAUCUGAGGGAAAGCAGGGGAUCUUCGGACCUGGCGCUAAUAGAUGAGCCUAAGUCAGAUUAGCUAGGUGGUGGGGUAAAGGCCUACCAAGGCGAAGAUCGGUAGCGGGUUUGAGAGGAUGAUCCGCCACACUGGGACUGAGACACGGCCCAGACUCCUACGGGAGGCAGCAGUGGGGAAUAUUGGACAAUGGGCGCAAGCCUGAUCCAGCCAUGCCGCGUGUGUGAAGAAGGCCUUUUGGUUGUAAAGCACUUUAAGCGAGGAGGAGGCUACUUGAAUUAAUACUCUAGGAUAGUGGACGUUACUCGCAGAAUAAGCACCGGCUAACUCUGUGCCAGCAGCCGCAGUAACAC